CGACUUAGUAAAUCUAUUAGCUCUGCUUAUAAGGUUUAGAAUUCAAUUCAACUAAAAAAUGUAUCUCUUGACAUAUCUGAAUAGCAAAGACAAAAUAACCUUGACUUGCUAAAGCUAGCUGCACUUGUGGCCACUACCAAAUGUGAAUUAUUUCUGUAUGACAAAGACCUGAGUGCUCUACAGGAAGAUGCAUUUGCCUCAUGUAUAUAAAAAAGCUUAGAAAUCACUACAAUUAAUGUUAUAUUAAAUGUCAUUAUGCUAAAUGUUUGAUCAAUACACUAGGUGAGGGUAUCAGCUUAAAUGAGGUGGGCUUUAAAGACCAUCAUGCUAGCAUAAAGGAUAAAACCAGGCAGUAAAUAGUUUAUGAUAACUCAUUAUCGAAGAUAUAGUAAAUAUAUAAUGAGGACCAAAGAAAGAAAAGAAGUCAACAGCAAUCACAUCUGGCUCUGCAAGGUCAUGUAAACAAAUAACACUCCUUUAGUAAUAGAAUUUUGUUUUUGUAUGUAAUUAGAAAUGCACUUUUAAAAUACUAUUCAUGAUCUUUUGGAUUACAAACAGGGUAUUCUCAAAUCAAAAAUGGCUGCAUGGUCACUUGGAUUUAUCAAUGGUCCCUGGUUCAAACCCUGCCUGCUCCCAUUCUCCGUCGUCCUGCAGGAAGUUUGGAAUAGGAAAUUAACUAUCUUAACUCUGAAGGAACAUGUAAAACAUUUAACAAACAAAACAUAUCAAGACAUAAAUAGAAAAUAAUAGUUAAAUCACUUUAUUUUAGAGAUUCUCAAGGAAGAAUCUUAACAGCAAAGUAGCACAAUAAUAAAACACUGGGUUCUAGGUUACCAAAACAAUAAAAUAAUUAUGACAAAACAUCAUAACUUAUUUGUGUAAAACUAGGGCACUUGUAGUAAGUAUGUAUAACAGUUAAUCAAUAAAAGGUCCUUCAUGACAUUCUGACAAACUACAAACAUUAAAGGUAUUUUUUUAGAAACAGUAGUUCAACAUAUUUGUAAUGUAGGGAGAGAGUGAGUGAAUGUAGAGACUACAUGUUAAAACAAGAACAUGAUGAAAUUUACAAACAUCAAUAUUGACACACAUUCUCAGCCACAAAAAGACAUUGAUUUAAAAAAAUAAUAACAUGUUUAUAUA